rnacentral:rRNA from 1 species
AACGAACGCUGGCGGCAGGCUUAACACAUGCAAGUCGAACGCCCUGCAAGGGGAGUGGCAGACGGGUGAGUAACACGUGGGAACAUACCCUUCGGUUCGGAACAACGCCGGGAAACUGGCGCUAAUACCGGAUACGGCUUGAGGGCGAAAGAUUCAUCGCCGAAGGAUUGGCCCGCGUUCGAUUAGCUUGUUGGUGAGGUAACGGCUCACCAAGGCGACGAUCGAUAGCUGGUCUGAGAGGAUGGCCAGCCACAUUGGGACUGAGACACGGCCCAAACUCCUACGGGAGGCAGCAGUGGGGAAUAUUGGACAAUGGGCGCAAGCCUGAUCCAGCCAUGCCGCGUGAGUGAUGACGGCCUUAGGGUUGUAAAGCUCUUUCGCACGCGACGAUAAUGACGGUAGCGUGAGAAGAAGCCCCGGCUAACUUCGUGCCAGCCGCCGCCGUAAC